ensembl:lncRNA
CGACUGGGGAGACCGGCCAGCCAUGUUUGCUUACGUCUAAUCUGUUUUGGCAACCCGUGUGCAUUUGCGCGUGCAUGUGCGCGUGCGCGUGCGUGCAUUUGAGUGUGUGUGAUUCUUUAUCUCUGUCCCAGGAGUCUCUACGGUGUAGAACAUGUGUUCUGUGUCCAUCGCCACCCCACGCUGCUGCAUGUGUUUCAGUCUGGCUUCCUGCAGGUGUCUGCUCAGACUGCAGUCAGUGCCGAAAUGCAGGCGCUGGUAAAUUUACAGCCCCUGGCUGCAGCUGGUCAUGUUUCAGAAUCAUGGCGUGUUCUCGUCUACCUGUCUGCUAAAGCGCUUCCACCCUUCCACAUGGCCGAGUUCCCGCACCGGACAGGUUGCUGCAGUAUAUUAGCGAGUUGUUGACUGGCCGGUGAAGAGCACAUUUGUCAACAUAUUAGAGUGUGUCAACACUUGAACAUCAGACCGUCAGGCCACCCAGCCAAUCCUCCGACACAGACUGACAUCAGGCUUCAGUGCAUUAAACGUGAGGUCCUGCAAUAACAACUUGAACUUGAAACGGCAAGGUGGGCAUCUGACUAGUGUCCAAAAAGUCCCUGCUUCUAAUCCCACUACAGCCAAGUUGCCAGAUCGUCUUGUCCCGUACAGUCGUUUCCAGCGGUCUAUGUGUUCAUCAGCCAGUCUACCUGUCCUUCUAUUCCCCGGUUACGACCCUUGCCUGUUUUCCGGAUUACGAGCCUGCCUGCCCUCUCCUGUACCUUCGACCAUCCGAACGCCCGAGAACGAACACUGCCUGUCCCUCACCACGAGCCUGCCUGCCCUAUCCUGUACCUUCGACCAUCUGACCGCCCGACAACAAACCCUGCCUGUCCCCUACCACGAGCCUGCCUGCCCACUCCUGUACCUUCGACCAUCUGAACGCCCGAUAACGAACCCUGCCUGUCCAGCACUACGAGCCUGCCCACUGCCUGGUUGUUCAGUAAAUACUUUGGACCGCCCUCCUCUGCCUCUGUGUCCGCAUUUGGGUCCCCACCCGUUCAUCGUUGUGAUAUCGUAACAUUUCCCUACAGGUUGUUGGUUCCUAAGAAGAACUGGUUACGAAUAAACUUGCCUGGGUAACAGGACUGAAAAAAGAAAAACAUCAUGCCAACUAAAAUGCAAAUGAACCGAAACCGGUUUUAGCACACAACAAACACUGUUAGACCACUAGGCUGUUUCUCCAAUUGGCUUGGGCGGGACUAGAGGAGGUGUGUUGAAGUUUGGGGGCAGGGUUUAUGAGACAGCUGAGAAGGGUCAUUUUAUCAGAACACAGUGUCCUGGUCACUCUUAGCUAUCCCUGAGAUGCAGUUGGUUGGCUCAUAAACAUGAAUGCAUAGCUGAGUUAUGAAGGAUGGCUCACCGUCAGCCCCCCCGGCCCGUUGCUCCAUGGCACCCGAUGCAGGGCACCUGUUCCCACAGGGGCUGCUUCAGGUUACAGCAUGCCUGUUUGUCCCUGAGCUUUGAGCGUGCCAACUGCCGUGUCCCAGCCCAGAGCGCAGGCAGCUAUCCAGCCAGAGACAGAGUGACGUGAUAGGGGCUGAGUCAUGUGCCUCGCAGCUCUGAGGACCCCUUAUCAUGGGUCUGUCAACGCUGUGACACCGCUGGUGGAAUAUGAGUCUGUAUGUCUGCCUGUUUGGAUUUAUUUGCACGUACGUGCGGCCUACGUGGCUUAACAUAGAUGUUUGUGUUGCUAAUCCUACACCAGUGUUACGUUUAUUUUGGUCGGCCAAAAUGUCCCACUGCCUCCAACAAUAUACUGUACCCCUGCAGGGAAUGUGUGAAGUGUGUUAAUGGGAGGCUAUUAUUUUAUAUGUAAUAACAUUCUUUGUAUGGUUUUAAGAAACCAUUACUGCAACGUUUUGUUAACUGCCUGUAUUUCUUUUUCAAAGAAACGACCCAGUUUAAAUGGAUGGAUUUAUCUAGAAUAACAAGAGCUUCAGCGAACAAAAACAAUGUAUUUACAUUUAAAAGCCGAGUAUUAUCCUACUUAAAGACUGUGGGCAUAAGAAUGACAAAAUGAGACCAAGUGAUACCGGGCUAACUCAAACAGGGCUGUUAUGCAGUCUAGUUAAAGUGACAGUAAUGUGUUUCUACUAAUCACAAUUAAUGGAAAGAGUUGCCUGGAGGACGCUAAGCUCAAUGGUGAAGGCAGCCAGGCUAGCCUAUCCAUCACAAUGUCACGGGUGGAGGCACUUGGUCAGGCGGUGCGGUUAUGGUUCCCCUCACGCAAGGCCCUUGGGUGGGAUUAAAGCUCGACCAUGCAUCAACAACGACCACCACCAGCGGCACCCUUCUUUCCAAACACCCACACACGCACGCAUUCACAUGCACACAC